GACAGAGGUGCCAAGCGUUAGGCGGAAUCACUGGGCUUAAAGCGUGUGUAGGCGGAUGCCUAAGUACCUUGUGAAAUCCCACGGCUCAACCGUGGAACUGCUGGGUAUACUGGGCGUCUUGGGUCAUCUAGGGGCUGCCGGAACAAAUGGUGGAGCGGUGAAAUGCGUAGAUAUCAUUUGGAACGCCAACGGCGAAAGCAGGAAGCUGGGGAUGCACCGACGCUGAGACACGAAAGCCAGGGGAGCGAACGGG
rnacentral:rRNA from 1 species